AAAUAAUGAGGAAACGGCACGUUCAGCCGGUUGGCUUUCUGCCAUGGGCUACCUUUGGAUGUAGUAUUGCUACUUGUGCAGGAUUGCUUAUGUAUGGAGAUGGAAUAGAAUGUGCAGUUGAAUCUGUUCCUGCCGCUCCUUCAAUUGCCAGUUUAGGGCGUGGCGUCCAAAGUCUACACCUGGCAUCUCAGGCAGUCCGGCAAGCUGAAAGCUCCAAAAUACAAAAGUCAAUAGAAUCCCUUCUUGAUAGAUUUAGGAAGAUGAAGGUUCAAUGAUGACAAUUUAACAAUAAUCUAAAGUUGCAAAUUGUUCCGACUUUAAUUUAUCCUAUAAUGGAAUACAUUAAAACGUAUGGUGUAAAUACAGUUCAGGAAGAGGUGUUUAGCAACUUGUUUUUGUAAUUCUUGUUGAUAUGUUGUCUGUAUACGAGAUUCUUAUUUGUGAUUGUGGAUGAAUAAAAGUUGGCACAAAGCUUGCACCCGAGUUCCUUGUCUCUUGAUCUUUCAAGCAGAAACUAGGAUAAGAGUUUCAGAAAUCUGUGUCACCAUUGUCAGCAAGCAUUUAUGCCAGUGUUUUUCAUUUUUGUCUUAUACGUAGCAUUUUGGUAAACACAUCAUAAGCUGUAUUACCAACUAUUUGCUUCAUCUUUCUCUCCUUUCGCUCUUCUUUUCUGCUGUGCAGUUUAACGACAUUCUGUAACGAUUACCCUGCUGCCUCAUGAUGUAUUUAGCUUGUUUCUGCCAGUAACUCCCCGUACUCUUGUCGCACUUCUUGUUUGGUUAUGGUUCUGUUUAAGUAUUUAAAGAGUAUUUUAAUCCUGAUAUAUUUCUUUCUGCAAAGAUGUACCUAUGUUAUUCCUAGGAUCUAUAUCGUAAUGUUGAAACUACAAUGGGUUUUGUAUAAAAAUCAGCAGCUUUGAUCAUGUAACAGAAUUAUGUGGUCACAAAGCAGAUCAACCUCCUGAUUAGAGUCACUGAGAACUCGAAUCAUGUAAGAUUUUAGGUAUAUCUGGAACAUUUUAGUUUUCAGACUUGAUGGUUUCGUCCCUUGUUUUUGGCUUUUCAGCUAAAUUAUCUUUGAGCUGGAUUUUACUUAUCUAGCGGUGAGAUGUCUUUUUUGGAUACAUAAUGCUCCUUCUUGAUCAACCCUGCUAAAUUGUGUUCCUUUAUUGCUACGUGGAAGUAGCUUGUCGGGCAAAAAUAUAACAAGUAGAGAAGAAGAAAAGCUAAGCAAUACCUUAUGGCUUUGUUGUUAGUGGGAGCCGUAAUCAUCCCCUUGGCCCUGUUCUGUCUUCACCUCCUGCUUCAUACAGCAAUGGUCUUGUCUGAUGGUUAGGUAUUCUUUUUGUGCACACUUUCAGAUAUUUUGUCAUUGCUUUGAUGACAAUCCUAGGUAAGGUGGAGGUUCUAAAGACCUGAACUUUAUCUUGACAACAUCUUUUGCAUCUGUGGUUUGGGGUGUUUUGUUAGAAACUGCAAGGAUUUUCUUUGAAUCCUCAUCCGUCUGUAUCGGAGCUCAACUCCAAGACCACUUAUACAGAUGUCAUGGAAUGCUGCUUUAUUUGGCAUUUCAGAACUUAUCCUGUUAAUGGUCUUUCUGAACUGGAUUGUUGCAUGAGGUACUUUUUGACCUCACCUCGUAC
rnacentral:lncRNA from 1 species